AAUACCCUAUUAUUUUAAAAGUAAUUAAUUAAAUCUAAUUAGUAAUAGUUAAGUUCUUGAAAAUUAAAGAAUUUGGCGGUAUUUUAGUCUAUUCAGAGGAAUCUGUCCUAUAAUUGAUAAUCCACGAUUUUUUAUACCUAAAUUAUUAAUUUACAUAUCGCCGUAGUUUGAAUAUUUUUUGAAAAUUAUAAUAUUCAUAAUUUAUUUUUAUAAAAAAAAUCAGGUCAAGGUGUAGUUUAUAUUUAGGAAGAGAUGGGUUACAAUAAAAAUAUUUAUUAUGGAUUAGUUAAUUAAAUUUUUUUAUGAAAGUGGAUUUGAAAGUAAUUUUAUUUA
rnacentral:rRNA from 1 species